UACGGAGGGUGCGAGCGUUGUCCGGAAUCACUGGGCGUAAAGGGCGCGUAGGCGGCCUGAUAAGUAGGGGGUGAAAUCCUGCGGCUUAACCGCAGGGCUGCCUUCUAAACUGUCAGGCUCGAGCACAGUAGAGGCAGGUGGAAUUCCCGGUGUAGCGGUGGAAUGCGUAGAUAUCGGGUGGAACACCAGCGGCGAAGGCGGCAUCCUGGCCCUGUACUGACGCUGAGGCGCGAUAGCGUGGGGAGCAAACGGG
rnacentral:rRNA from 1 species